rnacentral:pre_miRNA from 1 species
CAUCUGUCCUAAAAUAAAUAAAUCUUGACUCUUCGUCUUAUUAAAAAAAUUUACGAUUAAUAUUUUUAUUUUUAUUAGAUGAUAAAUCAUAAAUAGUACUUUACGUGUGACUAAUUUUUCUAAUUUUUUUAAAAAAAUUCAAAUAAGAAGAAUGGCCAAACGUUGGACACAGAAACCGAAAGUUUGCCUUAUU